UGCUUUAAAGAAAAUAAGAUACCAAGGAAUACAAUUUAGAAGGGAUUUGAAGGACCUUUUCAAGGAGAACUACAAACAACUGCUCAAGGAAAUAAGAGAGGACACAAACAGAUG